GCGUAACACAUUGGUAACCUGCCUCGGACACGGGAAAAACCCCGCGAAAGCGGGGCUAAUUCCACGAUGAUGAUGAGGGGGCGCGAGCCAUUCUCAUCUAAAGCGCAAAACGCGCUCCGAGAGGGGCCUAUGGCUUAUCAGCUAGUUGGUGAGGUAACGGCCCACCAAGGCAAUGACGAGUAGCGGGUGUGAGAGCAUGACCCGCCUCACUGGGACUGAGACACUGCCCAGACACCUACGGGUGGCUGCAGUCGAGAAUAUUCCCCAAUGGCCGAAAGGCUGAGGGAGCGACGCCGCGUGCGGGAAGAAGGGCUUCGGCUCGUAAACCGCUUUUACCGGGGACGAAUUUUGACGGUACCCGGAGAAUAAGAAGUUGCUAACUCUGUGCCAGCAGCAGCGGUAAUACAGAGACCUCAAGCGUUAUCCGGAAUCAUUGGGCGUAAAGCGUACCGAUCGGCUGUCUUUUAAGUCUGGGGUAAAAUCCGGGGGCUCAACCUCCGGCUCGCCUCGGAUACUAGAAGGCUAGAGGGGCAAAGAGGUGCUUGGAACGAACGGUGUAGCAGUGAAAUGCGUUGAUAUCGUUCGGAACACCGAUAGCGAAAGCAGAGCACUGGUGCCUCCUGACGCUGCUAGGACGAAAGCGUGGGUAGCGAAUGGGAUUAGAUACCCCAGUAGUCCACGCUGUAAACUAUGCUGACUAGGCACGGGCGAGUAUCGACCCUUGUCCGCGCCGAAGCUAACGCGUUAAGUCACCGCCUGGGGAGUACGGUCGCAAGACUAAAACUUAAAGGAAUUGACGGGGAUCUGCACAAGCGGUGGAGCAUGUGGUUCAAUUCGACGAUAAGCGAGGAACCUUACCUAGACUUGACAUGCACUGCAUGCGCCAGAAAUGGCGCAGCCUUCGAGGGUGUGCACAGGUGAUGCACGGUUGUCGUCAGCUCGUGUCGUGAGAUGUUGCCUUAAGUGGCAGAACGAGCGCAACCCUUGUCGUCUGUUACUGUGUCAGACGAGACUGCCAGGGUUUAACCUGGAGGAAGGUGGGGAUGACGUCAAAUCAGCGUGUCUCUUACGUCCUGGGCCACACACGUGCUACAAUGGGGUGCACAAAGGGACGCCAAGUCGCAGACGGAGCCAAUCCCAUCAAACCACCCCUCAGUUCGGAUUGAGGGCU
rnacentral:rRNA from 1 species